rnacentral:rRNA from 1 species
CCCUUAGAUGUUCUGGGCAGCACGCGCGCUACAAUGGUCUUCGCAAACGGAUGCAUUCUCGAAGGAGAAUGCCAAUCUUGGAAUCUAUGCCUUGGUCGGGACAGUUGCUUGCAAUUUUUCGACUCGAACCUGGAAUUCCUUGUAGUCGUGAUUCAUCACAUCACGAUGAAUACGUCCCUGCCCUUUGUACACACCGCCCGUCGCUCCUACCGAUCGAAGAGUUAGGUGAAUUGUUUUGAUCGAUAAGAUUUGACUAUGGUCAACUCUCGUUGUGAAAUUCUGUGAAUCUGACUGUUUAGAGGAAGGAAAAGUCGUAACA